CUGGUGGCAGCGCUCGCGGGUCAGCGACAGACACACCAGGCCACGCGCGUGGGUGACCAUGAAGUUGAUGUCGGACGGCUUGACCAGCUCGGCGGCCAUGAUCA
rnacentral:antisense_RNA from 1 species